AUUUGGACCACCUGGAGACCUUGUUAAAAUGCAGAUUCUGAUCUAGAGGUCUGAGGUUGGGCCAUUUCUAACAAGCUCCCAGGUGAGGCCACUGC
rnacentral:miRNA from 1 species